rnacentral:rRNA from 1 species
UACGAAGGGGGCUAGCGUUGCUCGGAAUGACUGGGCGUAAAGGGCGCGUAGGCGGAUGGCUUUGUCGGACGUGAAAUUCCAGGGCUUGACCUUGGGGCUGCGUUCGAGACGGGUUGUCUUGAGUUCGGAAGAGGGUCGUGGAAUUCCCAGUGUAGAGGUGAAAUUCGUAGAUAUUGGGAAGAACACCGGUGGCGAAGGCGGCGACCUGGUCCGAGACUGACGCUGAGGCGCGAAAGCGUGGGGAGCGAACAGG